GUAUUCAGGUAAUCGCUGCAAAGCUUGACUUUGUAGAGGAAAGUCCAUGCUCACACGGUUCUGAGAUGUCCGUAGUGUUUGUGCUCGGUGAAUUAAUAAGCCGGGGCUUCGCGCAUAGCGCGUUGACGGCGGGAAUAAGUCCUAAGUUUACUUAACGUAAAUAUGGAUUAGGUUCCCCGAACAGUGCCACAGAAACGUAGUCGGUUCGGAAACGGAUCGAAUGGAACGCGGUAAACCCCACAAGUGAGAAACCCAAACUAUGGUAGGGGCACUCUUCUGAAGGAAAUGAACAGACGAAGAGACGAGUAUUCAUACUCGUAGAUAGAUGAUUACCACCCAGCGUACGAGGCGUAAGCCGUUUGAGUACUAGGGAACAAAACAUGGCUUAUCGAA
rnacentral:RNase_P_RNA from 1 species